rnacentral:lncRNA from 1 species
UCCUCUACCUGGACCUCGAGUUUUGCAUAUACUCUGUAAUAAACUGUGUAUUAAAAAUUAUAAGAUUAUUAUUUUUAUAUAAAACUUCAAUUUGAAUUACUUAAUAUGAGAAAACUUAUUCAAAUAAUUAUGUAAUUUUUAUAUAUGUAUAUUGAUGUGGGAUUUUCAACAUAUUUUGCCAAAUCGAUUUCAUGGGUUGAGGUUGGUUACUUUCAUUAUGGAUUGGAUCGACUUGUGUCUGUCUCAACAUCAAAUUCAUGUAAUGAUUUUAACUCAAAAUUAAUGUAUGUCAAUCUAGAUUUCAAAUAUUU